UCUUUAUUUCACGUACUCUCUCACCGGUCAGAGAGGCGAGAGAGUGCGCAAAAUGAAGAGA
rfam:Pristionchus pacificus strain PS312 contig1311, whole genome shotgun sequence.